GAUGAACGCUGGCGGCGUGCCUAAUACAUGCAAGUCGAGCGAACGGACGAGAAGCUUGCUUCUCUGAUGUUAGCGGCGGACGGGUGAGUAACACGUGGAUAACCUACCUAUAAGACUGGGAUAACUUCGGGAAACCGGAGCUAAUACCGGAUAAUAUUUUGAACCGCAUGGUUCAAAAGUGAAAGACAGUCUUGCUGUCACUUAUAGAUGGAUCCGCGCUGCAUUAGCUAGUUGGUAAGGUAACGGCUUACCAAGGCAACGAUGCAUAGCCUACCUGAGAGGGUGAUCGGCCACACUGGAACUGAGACACGGUCCAGACUCCUACGGGAGGCAGCAGUAGGGAAUCUUCCGCAAUGGGCGAAAGCCUGACGGAGCAACGCCGCGUGAGUGAUGAAGGUCUUCGGAUCGUAAAACUCUGUUAUUAGGGAAGAACAUAUGUGUAAGUAACUGUGCACAUCUUGACGGUACCUAAUCAGAAAGCCACGGCUAACUACGUG
rnacentral:rRNA from 1 species